UCCUGAGAGGAAGCAUAGUGUUAAGCAUUCUGAUGAUAUAAGAAAGAGUUCUAAGGAAGCCAAGGAAGCUUAGCCAAAAUCACAUAUUAUAUAACAAGUAACAAGAUAUAUCAAUUAGCAGAUUAAAAAAAAACACACACAAAAGAUAAUGAAACGAUUACUAACUUCUCAUAUCAUGGAUGCCGCCAAGGAGGUUGUUCAGAUUCAAAAUAUUCAAAUAUAAUCUCCUCAUGAUCCACGUGGAUGCCUUUAUCAAAGAAAACUUUAGCAGAAGAAGACGAUGAAUCUGAUAAGCAUGCACCUUUGUCCUUCCUUGGUAGGUUGGGGCAGUAACAUUGAGAAGAUUGAGAGAGAACCCAAAGAAGAAACAGAUUUUGCUGUCUUGUUCCCCUCAUGAUCUCUGGCUGACUGUCCACUCAGAUUGCAAUAUUUAGUACUCCUCGAUAUUCCAAAUAAUUGCACAGCAGCGCAAAGUAUGCAGUGAAUUCAUGACAACCAUUCCGCAGCCUUGUAGAAUUGUAAAAAGCUUGUGUCUUCACUUCCGACCCAAAGCAACCAAGCUCUUCAUACCAUUGCCAAAUGCUUUUCAAGGAGAUGUUAGGAAUCUCGUGCCAGCUAUCUUUGAGUCGUUCAUGAGAACAACUGUUGCAGCUUCUGUCCAAUAACUGGAGCAGCAGAAAAAAGAAAUUUCUCAAAGUCAGCAACCGGACUGCCAGCAACAAAGCCAAAGCAGCUAUGGACACACCAUCCUCGUUCUUGUUCCGGUACUUGCAGAUGGGAGGUGCGCCGUACUUCCUCGUAGGGCGGCCAUCGGCUCCGGUUUGGACGGUGCAGCUGACGACAGUGUCGGGGGCGAGCAAGCGGAGCAUUCGGUCCACCAUCGUGGCCGCCUGCAGGUUCUCGGUCGGCAGCCGGGCAACGAUCUCAACCGGGCUCAACAUGGCGCCCGGGCCGGCCUCGACGAUGAUGUCGAGUUGCCGGAGCUCGAUAGCGGCCUUGAUGGUGAAGGGGAGGGCGUGCAGCUGCUCGCUAGCUGUAAGGCACACGCGCCUGCCUCCUCCUCGAGCGUCAGCUGCUGGAUGUUCUUGGUGGAUGCCAUACUACAAGCUAGCUAGCUAGUUUGCAGAACACGUGAUGGUGGAAUACUAUGAGAUGAGGAAGACUGGUUGAGCUUGGGGUGGUAUAAGAAGGGCUUUCCAUCCAGAUUUAUAGUGUGGAAUUCCUCUCCUACAAAGAGGAUCGUUCCCAAUUCAUAUAGCUGGACAACAAUCCGUAAGCAAAAUGACAGUGCAAUUAGAGCCACUUGUAUAAAGUGACAUAUGCAUGUUAUUUGUGUUAUUGGUAUUUCA